ACAUGCUUACAACAUAGCGUUCAUGCAAAAAAUUCCAUUAGAAUUUCGGAGUUAAGCGUGCUUGGGAUAGAGUAGUAUUGAGAUGGGUAACUGCCCUAGAUGUCCUAGUGUUUUACAUGCC
rfam:Picea glauca, whole genome shotgun sequence.